AAUUACCCACUCCCAGCACGGGGAGGUAGUGACGAAAAAUAACGAUACGGGACUCAUCCGAGGCCCCGUAAUCGGAAUGAGUACACUUUAAAACUUUUCCCGAGGAUCAAUUGGAGGGUAAGUCUGGUGCCAGCAGCCGCGGUAAUUCCAGCUCCAAUAGCGUAUAUUAAAGUUGUUGCGGUUAAAAAGCUCGUAGUCGAAUCUGUGUCCCGCGCCGCUGGUUCAUCGCUCGCGGUGUUCAACUGGCGUGUCUCGCGGGACGUCCUGCCGGUGGGCGCUCGUAUCGUUUCGGCGGUGCGUGGCCCAACUCGUAGCCGUCUCGCGCGGUUGCGAAUCCCAUCGCGGUGCUCUUUAUUGAGUGUCGAGGUGGGCCGGCACGUUUACUUUGAACAAAUUAGAGUGCUUAAAGCAGGCCAAUUUUGCCUGAAUAUUGUGUGCAUGGAAUAAUGGAAUAGGACCUCGGUUCUAUUUUGUUGGUUUUCGGAACCCCGAGGUAAUGAUUAAUAGGAACGGAUGGGGGCAUUCGUAUUGCGACGUUAGAGGUGAAAUUCUUGGAUCGUCGCAAGACGGACAGAAGCGAAAGCAUUUGCCAAAAACGCUUUCAUUGAUCAAGAACGAAAGUUAGAGGUUCGAAGGCGAUCAGAUACCGCCCUAGUUCUAACCAUAAACGAUGCCAGCUAGCGAUCCGCCGACGUUCCUCCGAUGACUCGGCGGGCAGCUUCCGGGAAACCAAAGCUUUUGGGUUCCGGGGGAAGUAUGGUUGCAAAGCUGAAACUUAAAGGAAUUGACGGAAGGGCACCACCAGGAGUGGAGCCUGCGGCUUAAUUUGACUCAACACGGGACACCUUACCAGGCCCGGACACCGGAAGGAUUGACAGAUUGAGAGCUCUUUCUUGAUUCGGUGGGUGGUGGUGCAUGGCCGUU
rnacentral:rRNA from 1 species